AUGCAGCCCUGGGAUCCCACAGCAGGGUGGGGAGGCAGCGCCCCCAUCCCCCACCCCUUCGGACCCCCCCACUCCAUCUGCAUCUUGCUGGGCUCCUUUAGGAUCCCCCCAUCCCACCUCCAUCUCUUUGGGAUCCUUCCCUUUGGGUCCCCCACCCCACACGCAUCCUUCUGUGGGUCCUUCAUUUUGGAUCCCCCCCCCAUCCCAUCUCCAUCUUUUUGGGUACCUUCGUUUUUUUGGGGUCCUUUGGAUCCCCGUCCCACCUGCAUCCUUUUGAGGUCCUUCACUUUGGGUGCCCCCAUCCCAUCUGUAUUCUUUUGGGAUGCUUCAUUUUUGGUUUGGGUCCUUCCCUUUGGAUCCCCCCCAUCCCAUCUGCACCUUCCUGGGCUCCUUUUGGGUCUGCCCAGCCACCCUCCAUCUCUUUGGGGUCCUUCACCCUGGAUCCCCCCCAUCCCGGCUGUGUUCUUUCAGGACCCUUCAUUUUUUUUGGGGGGGGGGGGCCCUUCCCUUUCCCAUCUCCAUCUUUUUGGGAUCAUUUGCACCUUUUUGGGACCCCUGGCUUUGGAUCCUGCACUCCACAUGCAUCAUCUUUGGGUCCUUUGGCUCCCCCCAUCCCGUCUCUUUGGGGUCCUUCACUUUGGGUCCCCCAUUCCACGUAGGUCUUUUUGGGGUCCUUCACUUUGGGAUACCCCCCACUCCAUCUUUCUGGGGUCCUUCACUUUUUUGGGGCCCUUCCUUUUGGGAUCCCUCACUCCAUCUUUUUGGGGUCCUUCUUUUUUGAUUCCUCCCCCCCCAUCUGCACCUUUUUGGGAUCCUUCGCAUCUUUUUCAGGCCCUUCCCUUCAUACCCACCCACCCCACCUUCAUCUUUUUGGGUCUCUUUUGCUUUUUGGGCCCCUCCCCCAUUGCUGCCAGCACAGUUUGGGGCCGCAGUGCUCACAGGGGGUCCGAGUGGGGGUCUGCGUGUGGAGGAUCCCGUGGGACACACCGAGGAUUUGGGAAGCUCUGCCCCCCCCUCCAGCCCCAUAUCUCCCCCCCCCCAGGGGGCUGCCCCCCAUUUGGGGGUUUGCAUGUGAUAGCAGAGGGGCANNNNNNNNNNNNNNNNNNNNNNNNNNNNNNNNNNNNNNNNNNNNNNNNNNNNNNNNNNNNNNNNNNNNNNNNGAGGAGAAAAAAAAAAAGGAAAAAAAAGGAAAAAAAAAAAACAAACAAAACCAAAAAAAUCCAAACCAACAAAACAGAAUCGCUGCAGUCGCUCGGCUCCGCUGUGGUUCGUUGGGGGGCGCUGGGGGGGGGUCACAGCUGGGCUGUGUGCAGCUGCAGGGGUGGUGGGUUCUCCACGUGCAUCUCCUGGUCCUCCGUGCUGCUCCUGCAUCCCAGUGCGUCCUUGAGCAUUGUGCCGUUCUCUGUGUCCAUCGAUCUGCUCCAUCCAUCCCCAACCUCCAUCCAUCUCCCAUCCGUCCCCUCCCUCCAUCUCUCAACCCGUUGCGUCCUCCAUCCAUCCCCAUCCUUCAUCCCAGUCCAUCCCUCUUCCAUCCAUCCCUCCAUCUCUCAACCCAAUCCUUCCAUCCUCCAUCCAUCCCUCAUCCCCAUCCUUCCAUCCAUCCUCCAUCCAUCCCUGCCCAUCCCCAUCCUUCAUCCCAAUCCAUCCCUCUUCCAUCCAUCCCUCCGUCUCUCAGCCCAAUCCUUCCAUCCUCCAUCCAUCCCUCAUCCCCAUCCUCCAUCGAUCCCCAUCCAUCCCCGUCCAUUCCCAUCCUUCAUCCCAGUCCUUCCCUCUUCCAUCCAUCCCUCCUUCUCUCAACCCAAUCCAUCCAUCCUCAUCCUUCAUCCCAAUUCUUCCAUCUUCCAUCCAUCCCUCCAUCUCUCAACCCAACCUUUCCAUCCUCCAUCCAUCCCUCACCCCAAUCCCAUCCAUCCCCAUCCUUCCCUCAACCCAAUCCAUCCAUCUUCCACCCAUCCCUUGUCCCACUCCUUCCAUCCCUAA
rnacentral:lncRNA from 1 species